rnacentral:rRNA from 1 species
GAUGAACGCUGGCGAGAUGCUUUACACAUGCAAGUCGUACGAGAGUUUUAAACUCAAGUGGCGGACGGGUGAGUAACACGUAAGAAUUUGCCUUUAGGAGGGGGACAACAACUGGAAACGGUUGCUAAUACCCCAUAUGCUUUCGAGUAAAAUGGAUUUUUCCGCCUAGAGAGAAGCUUGCGGCUGAUUAGCUUGUUGGUAAGGUAAAGGCUUACCAAGGCGACGAUCAGUAUCUGGUUUGAGAGGACGAUCAGACACAUUGGAACUGAGACACGGUCCAGACUCCUGCGGGAGGCAGCAGUGGGGAAUUUUCCGCAAUGGGCGAAAGCCUGACGGAGCAAUCUCGCGUGAGGGAUGACUGCCUAUGGGUUGUAAACCUCUUUUUUCAGGGAGGAAUAAAUGACGUGUACCUGAGGAAUAAGCAUCGGCUAACUCCGUGCCAGCAGCCGCGGUAAUACGGAGGAUGCAAGUGUUAUCCGGAAUCACUGGGCGUAAAGCGCCUGUAGGUUGUUUGAUAAGUCAACUGUUAAAUCUUGAAGCUCAACUUCAAAACCGCAGUCGAAACUAUCAGACUAGAGUAUAGUAGGGGUAAAGGGAAUUUCCAGUGGAGCGGUGAAAUGCGUAGAGAUUGGAAAGAACACCGAUGGCGAAGGCACUUUACUGGGCUAUUACUGACACUCAGAGACGAAAGCUAGGGUAGCAAAUGGGAUUAGAUACCCCAGUAGUCCUAGCUGUAAACAAUGGAUACUAGAUGUUGAACAGAUCGACCUGUGCAGUAUCAAAGCUAACGCGUUAAGUAUCCCGCCUGGGAAGUAUGCUCGCAAGAGUGAAACUCAAAGGAAUUGACGGGGACCCGCACAAGCGGUGGAGCAUGUGGUUUAAUUCGAUGCAACGCGAAGAACCUUACCUGGUCUUGACAUCCUCGGAACCCUGCAGAGAUGUGGGGGUGC